CAGAUAAUGGUAAAGGAUCGAAUCCACAGAGAAUUGAUUACCAAUCUAUUUUUCUCAACAAGACCAAUAAAAUUAACUGAAACAAUAAUAAAUUAAAAUGAGAUAAAAGACUGAAAGUGGGAUCAAAUGAGAUAAACUGCAAAUUGGGAUCAAAACUGUCAACAAAAUAACAGGGGGGUUUGAGAUUGAUUGUAGUAAACUAAUAAUGAGAAUAAU
rnacentral:lncRNA from 1 species